GAGGACUUCUGGCUCCAUUUCAUAGCUAUUUCAACUUUGAUUAUUAGUUCUCUAUCCAGGAACCUGUGACUCACUGGCUGAACAUAAGUAAUAGCAAUUAUCAGAUUCAGCUAUGUAAAAGAAAUACUCCGGCCAAUCUUAAGUGUUGUGUCUGCCUCAGAACUCCCCCAUGAUUUUGCUCUCGAUACAAUUCCAUACAACAAAACUCAGAGUGGAGGAUCACUGUGGAAGCUAAGAAGACAACGUUUUGUAAGGGGGU